UAAAUAGAUCAAAGCCAAAAAAAUAGAUUGAAAGUUUUAUAAAAAAAAUGCUCAAAUUUCUCUACUUUAACAAAUGCAGUGGUUUCCUCUCAGUUGGCCUUCGCUAUCAAUAACGCGAGCGGCUAGUGCGUGUCCCGUAGCUUACGUGUCAACAUAAAGAGGCCCCACGUCAUUGGAACCUUGAAGCAGAUACAUCACGAGCCAAAAAAUAAGCUUUGUUUUUUCCUCCUCUGUUCCGGCGGGGGGAGGCGGCGAUGGCCGCGUGGGACGCGGUGGCCGGUGGGCGGCGCUCUACGACCAGUCCGCGCUCGACGCCGUCGCCUUCUUCGACGUGAGCGCCAACGCCGAGCGCCAACGCCGGGGUCCUCUCCGCGUAGGCGCCCGUGGGCCGCUGAAGCCCCUGCAUCGUCCUCCUCGCCGGCCCCGAUCCCGCUCGUCUGCCUCUACAUGCUGCUCGCCGCGCAGGCGCAGACCUUCCUAUAGUACGGCCAUGUCGUCACCGCCGUCGAGAACUUCCCCGACCACCGCGGCACCGUCAACGGCAUUGUGAAGGUGAUGUAUAUGCUGAAAUCAAAAAAAUCCAAAGUAUACAGAUGAAAUCUGAAGUAUCAAAAAAUCCAUGUGAAAUCAAAAGGGCCACAUCCUCUGCUGUGACUGUGAUGAAUCAAAAAUCAGAAGAACCAUUUGUUUUGUUUGCUUUCAGUUCCUUUCUUAUGUGCUGUGACUGUGAGGAAUCUGUUCUGGUGGCAUAGCACAGUAUACAGAUGAUGCAUAUGCUGAGAGUAGCAGAAAAGUACAGUAAUGCGAUUUCUUAGACUUGUAUUAAUUCUUGCUCCCUGGAGGCUGGGAGGCAGCAUUACUGAUUCUAGAGGAAGAGUGCAAUUGUGUAGGCACAGUCACUGUUUCAUUAUAAUGUGAUCUGGCCCAGAGACACCAGAGAGGCAAUAAUUCAGCCUUCUUUUGCUGGCCUCAUCCUUUCAGCACCAUGUUUGUUUCCUGAAAUACUGUAUCUACCACACUGGGUGGAGCUAUCAUUUGCGUUAAUUGCACGAACUUUCGUCGUUAUUGUGUUGAGUUUUCACCUAAGUAUAUUGGCAAAUCUGACGAUGAACGUGUGUGGAUCCAACAUUGCACACGAUUUGCUCAAUAAUCCUAACCUGCACUCUGUUUCUUGACAACGUAGCAAACUACCAAUCAUAAGGUGCGUUUAUUAGGCAGUGUAUCAUGUUUUGUCUCGUUACACAAUUACAGACAUGGCAUACUCCAUAUGGCAUUAAACCAUCUAUACAUGGUUUUCUGGGCUUGAGUGCAGCAACACCGGUUCAGCGCUCAUCAGCGGUACAACAAGAAGUUCCUUGAUGCCUUCUCUCUCAUGGCCUUUACUGUUGCUGGGUACCUGAAAGUUGUCAUAAUCUGCAACCAAGUAUUCGUGAUAAGUUCAGCUGGACAGAGUGUUUGCUUUGUGACGAUACUCCUGCUGUUGAUCAUGUCUCCAGCAGUUUUUUCUGUAUGAGCUCAGAAGACGGAACCGAAACAGCGAGAAGAACCAGCUCUAGCACUGUGCUUGUCGGAUCUGGUCAGGACAUGUCGUCGCACAAAGAAAGCCUGAAUGCGGUGCAGGCCAUGUGUAAAUUCGACUUCUGGCUGCUCUUCCUUGCGAUGGCCUGCGGGAUGGGAUCGGGGCUAACCACGGUGAACUACGUCAGCCAGAUAAGGGGCUCCCUUUGGCUAGACGAGCAGGGAGACCAUCACCCUGGUGUCGCUCUGGAGCAUCUGGAACUUCUCUGGGAGGUUCGGUGCAGGCUGCGUCUCCAAUCACUUCCUCUAGUCGUGAGGAGUAGGCAGGCCUUUUUCAUAGCAGCGACGCUUCUGGUCAUGGGUGUAGGACACACCAUCAUCUCCUCCGGUUUCCGCGCGUCGGUCUACAUCGGCUCCGGUUUCCAGAGGCACUUCUGUGACAAGGAGUCACCACAAGGUGAGUUUGCCUGCGCCGGCAUGGCUUCUUCCGGUUCCGUGACGAGGCCACCGUGUGCUAACCGCGAGGACAUGCCGGACAAAUGGACAGACGCCGAGUUGGAUAAGGUGAAGGACAAAGAUAUGAGAACUCCAUCAUGUUGGUGUGGAGAUGUUUGCAAAGUUAAGAUAUCCACCGGUCGCAAGAAAUGAUGGACGGAAGGAAGAAGAUAUUUUGUUUGUCCCAACUAUGCCUACGAUCGUCCUCGUCCAGCUCACGCAUAUGAUGUGCCGCUGUCGCCGCCUCCACUUUGUAAGUACUUCACAUGGAUAGAUCAAAAUGUGCCAGAAGAUGUUAAGAAAGAUCAACAUCGAGAUUGUCUAAGGGGGCAGCGGUUGUUUGAAGAAGCAUUUCAGAGAGGCUUGGAUGAAGAAAGUCGUGAAAAGAAGAGGAUGGAGCGAAAGAAGCGUGAAGAGGAGAAGGCACGUAAGGAGAAGAUUGCUCGUCAAGAGGAGAGAGCAAGAAAGCUUGCAAGGGCUCGUGAAGCCAAAGAGGAGGAUGAGGCACGCGACAAGAAAGGGAAAUGGCCUCGUGUGACCCAAUAAGGCCUUACUUUCGAAAAACUAGUCAUGAACUAUGCCUUCGAUUCGAGAAACAUGUGAUGAACUGUGUCUUUGAUUUGUGAAAAUUGUGUUGAACUAUGUACUUUAUUUGCGAAACAUGUCGUCAACUGUGUCUUUGAUUUGUGAAGCUUGUGAUGAAACUA